AACAUGACGACUUUUAAGCGUCACAUGGUACCGCUCCGCGGGCUCGUUGUUUGAGUAACAGGGCAGUGGCCGAAGAUGAUGAUGAUGAUGAUGAUGAUGAGGGGUGGACUGGGAGAAAAAUUCAGCCCUGGCAUUUUCUCUCCAGACCAGCCCACUACAUUAUUAGCACUAGGGGUGGGACGAGACGAACAGGAAGAACCCUGUAUAUCCGAAUAAUAGCACAGUUUUUUUGUUUUUCAAGUUUGUGUUUCUUGUGCUGCUGACAAGAAAGGUGUGAAACCCGAACAGGAAGUUAACAGACAUCCUGUGGUUGCUGCAUCUCCACCCGCCGUAUCUACUACAAAACCCUUGUUAAAUAUCACACAUGAUCCAACGCUAAAUCCUCUCUUGCAGUUAUUAGUCUGUGACUGUGAAAAUCGUUUGGUGUAAGCCCAGCAUUAGUUAAAACCAGACUCGGACAAUAAUAACAAAAUCUCCUGACGAAUAAUCUAAAUAGAAACAUAUUACAGACGGUAACAGCAUUUGAGCUGAAACCAAUUUGUUUUAACGGUGACUCAGUCAUUAUGAAACCAUAACUAGAGAAUUUAAUUUUUUUUCUCAUAUACUUCUCAUAUUCUCAUACACGUGUAUGUGCACAUGCAUAUCUAUUCAGACCUGUAAUUCGGCCUACCUGCAUAACUGUUAAUUAUAUAAAAGAUAUGCAAAUGUUUGAAAUUAAAAUCAAUGUGAAAAUCUUCAACCAGGAAAUAAUCAUAAUCAAACCUUUUGUUUCAAUCUGAGGCAAAACAAGUUGCAUAAUAAACUCACAAAGUCAAGAGAAGCGCGCUCUCUCUCUCUCUCUCUCUCUCUCUCUCUCUCUCUCUCUCUCUCUCUCUCUCUCUCUCUCUCUCUCUCUCUCUCUCUCUCUCUCUCUCUCUCU